GAUGAACGCUGGCGGCGUGCCUAAUACAUGCAAGUCGAGCGAAUGGAUUAAGAGCUUGCUCUUAUGAAGUUAGCGGCGGACGGGUGAGUAACACGUGGGUAACCUGCCCAUAAGACUGGGAUAACUCCGGGAAACCGGGGCUAAUACCGGAUAACAUUUUGAACCGCAUGGUUCGAAAUUGAAAGGCGGCUUCGGCUGUCACUUAUGGAUGGACCCGCGUCGCAUUAGCUAGUUGGUGAGGCAACGGCUCACCAAGGCAACGAUGCGUAGCCGACCUGAGAGGAUGAUCGGCCACACUGGGACUGAGACACGGCCCAGACUCCUACGGGAGGCAGCAGUAGGGAAUCUUCCGCAAUGGACGAAAGUCUGACGGAGCAACGCCGCGUGAGUGAUGAAGGCUUUCGGGUCGUAAAACUCUGUUGUUAGGGAAGAACAAGUGCUAGUUGAAUAAGCUGACACCUUGACGGUACCUAACCAGAAGCCACGGCUAACUACGUGCCAGCCGCCGCAGUAA
rnacentral:rRNA from 1 species